rnacentral:lncRNA from 1 species
UAUCUCAACCAACUCACACCCCUCACCCUACCCUACCUACCCCUAGCCCCACCUCAGCCCCCUCCCCUUCAUAUUUUUCUCGUUUUUCCAUAACAGAACAAAAAUAGGGUGGGACCCACAGAAAGCUUCCUCACAAUUCCACCACUGAAAUGAAGUAUAUACACACUCCACACGAUAUGCUCCCCAUAUAUUCCUCCACUGAAACACAACAUCGACAUACACAAAAAGACCUCAUGCUCCACUUUUUCCAUUCAACAAACACACUCACAAUAACACACGCUGACCCACCCAAAAACACACGAAAAUUUGCCGUCAUCUUCCAUUUUCUCCAACUAUACAGCAAAAGGAAUACAUACACAAGAGAAGAUACACACACAAACUAGUGAAAGAAAACAGGGAGAGAACACUCGAUUCUCUUCAUUCUCAUACCCACGCACACACAGUGAGAUCGAGAGGAAGGGAGAAUAGAGAGAGGGGGAAGAGUAACACAGAGAGAGAGCAACAAAGAGAGAGAGGUGACGGAGUGAGAGAGAGAGUAACGAAGAGGAUGAAGUGAGAGAGUUUGAGAGAGAAGGAAUCGACCAGAGAUCGAGUUUUCCGGCCAUUCUUCACCGGAAAUCACUUCACCCGUUCCGAUUUCACUUCGAAAUUCACUGGAAAACUCGAUUAAACCCAUCUCCGUCGCCGAAAUCAGAACCAGCUGCUUGAAUCGGCCUGAAAUCAGCCUGUUCGGGUUGAUUCCGGUCUGUUUAGGUUGAAUCCGGCAACGUUCGAAUUGAUUCCGGCGACAAUUGGUGCGCGAAUCUCGUUCGUUUCGCAGUUCUUGCUUUUGAAUAUUCGUCUGUCUCUUCGCGAAUUUCGUAUCUGAAUCGGAUUCCGGAGAUUUUCAUAGCUGGUUCGUAGUCGAGAUUGUGGUACCCGUUGUGGUUAUUGGACGCAGGUUCUACCAGGUUUAAUCGAAAUAAUACACCCGAAGUAAUACAUCAAUUUUUGAAAGAGUCGUCUUUUUUCUUUAAUUUUUAGGUAAUCGUGAAUAAUUUGUGUUUGCUAUGUUUGAAUCGUGAUUGUGUAUUGAUUGAUGUUGGAUUUGAACGUGGAAACUUGAAUUGGUAGUCGAAGAAUUGAUUAAUUAUUUUGUGAAUGGAUGUGGGAAGGGAUUGUUCUCUAUAAAAGUAAAUUUGGAUAAAUUUUGAUUCAUUGAUGAUGUUGAACGUGAUAGAAUCAUGAUAGAUCGAAUUGGAUAGGUAAAUAGUAGGUUCGGGUCGGGGAAUUUAAAACUUGUGGAUUGCUGAAUGUUCAAAAUGUUUGUUGAAUGGUUUUAUUUUAUAAAUUUGGAUCAAUUGUACUUAUUUGGUCGGGGAAUGCCCCAAAGGAAGUUGUAUUUAUUCACCGAAAAAUAUUCCGAUGUAUUAUGUUUUCAUGUUUUCAAAGGAGGUUCGUGAUCAAAGCUCGAGGCACCGGAUAAAGUACAGGAGCGUAGUUUAGGAUUAGUGUAGGUUAGUGUAAGUAUAUGUUUUUGGUAGUUUUUUAUUUUGGGACUGUAUAAUUGGACUGAACAAUAUAUUUUAGAUUUGUUUUUUUUUUUGUGUUUGAUUGAUUGUUUUAUGUGUUUUGUGUGGUUUAUACAUUCGUAAUGUCAAAUUAGCCGAUACGCUUCACAAGCGAUCGUGGUUGAAUCACGGGAUCGAGGGGUGUGUAACACCUUCCCCUCGGUCAACAGAAUUUCUUAGUUGGAAUCUCUGUUCGCAAAUCAGUUUUAAAGAGUUAAAAACAGUUUUAAAAAUGGAUUUCUAAAGGUGAGUUGGCACACCCGAUUAUGUCAAGUGGCGACUCUGAGUUGAUUAUAAAAAUGAAUUCUUUUCGAAAUAAUUUUUAUUUUGUCACGUUAAUAAUAAAAUUCCUUUCAAACUUUAAAAUUAAUAUUUUGGUGUAAAAAAGUGGUGUGACAGCUCUAACGAUUUCGUUGAGGAUUUUUUAGAAUUUGAGCUUAUUUUGGAGUCGUAUCGGCUUAGUUUGACACUAUAGAUAUAUAGACAUUUUGUUUGUAUUAUUUCGUGUUAUUGUUUAUCAUUGUUGAGUGCCUACGUGCUCUUUGUUUAUAAUUUUUAUCUUAUGUGUUACCGCUUUAUAUCUGGCAUCACGUGCAUAACUCGAGUCAUGCUUUCUGCAACGAGUCUGUAGCACACGUGUAUAUACGACCUUUAGUUGAGUCACCCUUAUUUUAGGAGGGGGAGUCAUUGGGUUGUAUGGAGUAGGUCGAAAGCUGUCGUAGCCACUAUCGAUCAUACGCUCCCCCGAAAAACCUUGUUAGUUAACCCAGCGUAGGUCAGCCUUUAGGUCAUGCUUAUGUACAUCAUAUUGAGACCUAGCAAGACCUACUUGGUCCUUUGUAGGAGAAUCACUUCUAAAGUAUCUCUACGUGCUAAAUGUUGCAUCUUUGAGGGUAAUGUGGUCAUUUGACGAAUUGAUUUAGGGAAAGCAGGUGUUAGAAGUAAAGUGUGUAGACAAGAAAUUGUUAGAAAAAAAAAAGAGAAAAAAGAGAGAAAAAGAAAAGGUGAAUGAAGAAAAAAGAGUUUCGUAGUUGUUUAGAGUUUUUAUGGCAAAAUGGUCAAAAGCCCCCCAACCUUUACCCCAAGUCCUAACUACACACUCAGCUUUUAAAUGUGACUUAUUACCCCCUGAACUAUUUUAAAAUAGAAUUAUUAUCCCUGUGAACUAUUUUAAAAAGGAAUUAUUAACCCCUGAAAACUGACAACCAGUCAUUUGAAAUGUAGUGUGAUGCACGCGCUGCCACAUCAUGUCACGUCAUUUUCACGUUUUUUUUUUUUUACUCUAAAAAAAAUUAAUUAUUUAACUUUAUUAUUUUCUUUUUUCUUCCCCAUUUUUCAUUUUGCUCCAUUUUCUUCUUCAACCAAUUUCAUCUUCUUGGGUCAAAAAUAGAAUUCUUGAAAAAAAAUGGCGGAUUAAUGAAGUUCUUGAAUGACGGAUUAAUGAAGUUCUUCAACCCAAUUUUAUCUCCUUUUGCUCAAGAUUGCCAUUAAUGGCGAAUUCUUUCCCACUGUGGAAAUUCAAAAUUUUGAGCUCGCCAUUAAUGGCGGAUCUUGAGCAAAAAUAGAGAAAAUCGGAGAAAUAGGUUGAAAAUUAUAUGUGGGUUAUGUUGGAAAUUAUAUAUGGCAUUGUGGAAAUUAGAAGUUUUGAGCUUGCCAUUAAUAACGAUUUUGAGCAAAAAGAGAAGAAAUCGAAGUUCUUGAAUUUUUUUAAGCUUUUUGAAUCGGAGUUCCCAAACUUCUUCAUUCAAGAAUUCAUUAAUCGGAGAAAUUUUAUUGUUUCCUUAGUUCAAGUGUUCCUUGGUUUUGGAGAAAUUCAUUAAUGAGGAAGACGAGGAACUCCAUUAAUGAGUUCUUGAAUUUUUGCUUUGAAAAAGAGAAGAAGAAGACGUGACGUAGCAAUUAGAAUUCAUUAAGAAAAAGUUAUAAUUAAAAUAUUUAUUAUAUUAUUAAAAAUAAUGAUGUGACAAUCAGAAAAUAAAGAAUUUAAAGUGAAAUGGGAUCAACUGACGCUCCCAUGGGCGGGUGUAGUCACGUCCAGUGAUAGGUCAGCAAUUGGGGGAUAAUAAAUUCAGUAAAAAUAAGUUUAGGGAGGUACUAGGUCACCUUUAAAGGUUGAGUGUGUAGUUGAGAUUUCGACUAAAGGUUGGGGGGUAAUAGACCAUUUUCUCAAAAAUCAAAAAUGAGUUUUACAUUUUGCACUCAUUUUCUCAAAAAAUAAAAACGUCAAAAAGAUUUUCCUUUUAUUUCUUUAGUAAACAUUCACAUUUCGAAAACUCCAAAAAAAAAAAAAUUCUAUUUCAAUAGGAGCUUUGCACAUUUUUAUAUAACGAAAAUUUAAAAAAAAAAAAAAAUUCUUUCAUAGUUGUUGGUGUUAGUUUCUAAUUAAAAACCCCAAAAAGAUUUUAUUGACAUUGUUCAUCGUAUUUCUUUAGUCGUGUCUCUCAAGUCAGGAUUCAGUUUGUCAUUUAAUCCUUAAUUGUCCAAUCUAGACGAACUAUGCACCCCUGAUUCUCCUCUCUUGGGAGUGAGAUACGUAGGCAGACUAUUAUUGGUUCGAGGAUCUUAUUUGAAAAAUCCAAAAAAGAUUUUCUUCACUCUUUAUUAGAGUUGGUGUUUCAUAUACAUCUUUAAAAGAAAACUACAAUUUUUUUUCCUUUAAUAGGUUCAAGUUUCAUUUUCAUAUGAAAUUCAAAAUCGAAAACCCUAAAAGAUUUUUCUUACCAAAUCAUAAAUUUCAUUUUGUAUAGGGAGUUUAAACUUGAAAAAUGCAAAAAGAUUUUCGUCAAUUCUUUUGACAAUUUGUUAUUUUCUUUUCUUUUUUAAAGUUUUAAGAACAAGAAAAAAAAAGAAAGGAAAAAGAGUUUAGUUGGCCAUUUUGGCAAGACUUCACGAACUACGCACACCUGAUUCUCCUUUCUCGAGAUACAUAGGCGCCCCUUUUGGGUUCGGUGACCUUUCCGAAAAAAAAGAAAAAAGGUUUUGAAAAAAAAGUGUUGAAUUCUAACGCAUUUACUAUCUCUUGUUUAGUUAGUUUAAGGUGGUUGGUUUGUGGCAUUUUGGCUGGUCCUCCAUAUUGCACCAAGUCACAGAGAAAAUUAUGACCAACAAGGAUACCGAGUUUGUUGUCACUGAUCAGAUAAGGAGUUCUGGGAAUGAGAAUUUAGAAGCUAAUGAAGAGAUUCGAAAAUUAAGGCAGCAAAUGAUAGAAAUGCAUCGAGCUUGGGCUAAUGGGUUGCCGCCUCCUCUAUUUUCCACUGAUAAUCUGGAAUAGCUUUCUGGCUUGCCUCCAGUGUCACAUGCACAAUUUCCUAUUGUUGUUGAUACGUUACAACGUGCAUUAGGAUCUACUUUGGGGAAACACUAUCCAAACACUUUCAAUAUUCAUUUUCUCACUCCUCAACACAAAGCUACCACAUGCUCGGCUCCACCCACUGGUUAUGUUUUUGCACCCCCACCCCCACUCGAAGCUCUUACUUUUGAGGUUUAUCCAUAAGUUGUGCCUCCCCACUCUAUGAGAGAUCCUGUAUUAAAUAUUUUUGCUAAUUAACAUCAUGCUAUUGAGUCCAUAUUUAAGUCGACUAAUUCUUAUGGCUACACUCACCUGGCUGAAUUUUCUCUUAACACUGAGAAGCCUGUUAUAACAGAAGAACAAGAGGAAAUGGCCAGAAAAUUGAGAAGUUUGGAACUGGCUAUGAAAGACCUCCAGGGACUUGGGGGUACAAAAGUGUCUCAUAUAAAGAUCUGUCCAUGUUUUCAGGGGUUCAUCUUCCUUUUGGUUUUAAAAUGCCGAAGUUUGACAAGUAUGAUGGACAUGAUGAACCUGUAGUACAUUUGAGACGUUAUUGCAACAAACUAAGGGGUGCUGGGGGGAAAGAAGAAUUACUCAUGGCAUAUUUCGGUGAGAGUUUUUCAGGCCUAGCUUCAGAAUGGUUUGUUGACCAAGACAUCGACAAGUGGAUUAGUUAGGAUGAUCUAGCUAAUGAAUUUGUGCAAUUAUUUCAAAACAAUGUGGAGUUGAUUCCUGAUGAGAAAUCCCUAACUAACAUGAAGAAAAAGAGUAUUGAGACUUUCAGAGAGUAUGCUAUUAGAUGGCGUGAACAAGCUGUUAGGGUGAAACCGCCAAUGAAAGAAGGUAAGAUAGUGGAGGUGUUUAUUCAAGCUCAGGAUGAAACAUAUUAUCAACACUUGUUACCUGCAUUAGGCAAGCCAUUUAUUGAGGUCCUCAAAAUGGGGAAGAUGAUAGAGGAUGGAAUUAGGACCGAUCGCAUUGUGAGUUUUGCAACAGAAAGCGAUUACUCAAGCAAUUCAAAAAGAUUUGGCAAGUGUCGCAGAGAGGAAGUAUGAGGAAGAUGCAUCUGCCAUUGUAGUUGGACAACAGGCACGGGCAAGAGGACCACACCAUCGUUACCCACAGACUCAAACCCAAGCUUAUGCCCAAGCUCCAUAGAAUCUUUUUCAAAAUCCAUCAUACUCUAUUCCCCCACCCCCGUAUCCAAUAUACAAUGCACAACUCUAUGGUCAAUUCUCCUCUUACCCACAAUGGCGUGCACCAACUCUUCAGAGUCAUCCUCAAACUCCACAAACAUACCAAAGCCCUUCUAGGCCCGAUUUUUGAUCCAAGACAAACAAUGAAAUGAGGCAGAAGUCGAGGGAUAACUUCACACCAAUUGGAGAGUCAUAUACCAGUUUAUUUCAGAGAUUGGUAUAGCGGGGCAUGAUCACUCCUCUCCUAAGGUAUACUUCUGACCCGCAUUCAAGAAGCUUUGAUCCUAAUGUAUGAUGUGCAUAUCAUUCUAAUGUCCAGGGUCACAGUAUUGAAGAUUGUCGUGCUUUGAAAAGAGAAAUUGAAAAAAUGAUUCAAGAUAAAUCAAUUAUGGUGAAGACCAUUGACAGUGAGGAAAGCUCUAGUCAUGCUGAUAUGCAAAUCAAUGGCUAAGAUGUCAGGUUGAGCAAUUGAGAAGUCACCCCUCUUCCUACUAGAAAGAGGUCUUGUAGUGUGUUUUGUUUUAUUUUCUGUUAUCCGAAUUAUUUCAGGGUUGUAGUUCAGGAUCUAUCUUGUUUUGUCCCUUUGUCAUUAUGUUCAAACCCUUCUAUCUUUCAUUUUAAUUAAAUAGAGUAUCCCAUUUUCCUUUGUGUUUUAAAUUUGUGUUGUUUGUUUGUUUUCUUUACAUAACACAUUUUAUAUUGAUUUUAGUAAUAUGACAUGCUAGCAGAAUUUUCAGCCAAAUCUUGAAAUCCAAUUUAAGCAUGAACAUUAAAUCAAAGGGUUAAAGUUAGAAAAAGAGAGCAUAUGAGAAAAUAGGUAGAGUGUUGAGACGUUUGAUGACAAGUUGAAGCCUUCUUUGAAAAUUAAGAUAAUUGUUUUGAGAAUCACAAGAAUAACUUGGUCAUCAAUUGAAAGACAUGUCUAAAUUAGGUCAGAUGGUGGAGUGAUAUGUUGAACAAAGUGCAAGAGUAGUGAUGCACAAAUUCAGUUAAAGUUAGUGUUGUAGAUAUGUCACGAAUGAUCUCCAUCUUUCAUUUUCACAUUGCAUGAUGUGUACUUGCAUUUUCAAGGAUUGAUAUGACGAAGGCAUUUUAAUCUGCUAUCCAAACAUCGUGUCAUCCUUUGUUUACCCCAUUUGAGUUUUAGUUCUAUUUUAUUUCAUACCCCUCUUUUGGAAUCAAGAUAGAGUCAACAAAGCUUAAAAGAAAAGGUGUCGAGCAAAACAGUAGAGCCAGAAAAGUUUUCAAAAAAAAAAGAAAAAAAUGUGUCCAAAAAGAAAGAAAAAGAAGAGUGUCAAGAAAAAUAAAGUCAAAAAAGUCCCAAAGAGAAAAAGAGUCAACAAAAGAAAAAAUCAGAAUCAAUCAAAAGAACAAGCUGCCGGAACUAUGUGUGACCUCAUUCUCCUCUCUCGGGAGUGAGAUAUGUAGGCUGCCUUACUUUGGGCUCGGUCCAACCAAAUAAACAAUUUAGAGUCACCCAACCAAAAGAAAUUGGGGCAUGAGUUAAUCCUCAUUGUUUGAGUCGAUUCUAAAAGUUGUAAGUCCUAACCCAUAUCAAGUGUCGUUUGGACCUCAUUCCAUCCUUCUUUCUAACACUAUUCAAAGUCUAAGUUACAACCAAAGAAAGACCUUCAUAUCAAUCUUUGAGAAUGUUAAGGCUAAGCAUGCAAGGGAUAUGAUGACACAUUUUGGGAACUACUUGUCUUCCUCGGCAUUAGGAAUCAGGAGAGAAAUAAAAAUGAGAGAGUCUUAUUAGUAAAAAUUCUCUCGGGCACCAUAAGGCGAUAGUAAGUUGAGAGAGAUAAAAAUGAAAGAGUUUUAUCGAUGAAAACCCUCACGGGCACUGUAAGACGACUGUGAGUUGAGAAAAAUAAAAAUAAAAGUCUCAUUGGUAAAAAACCCUCACGGACACCAUAGGAAAAUGAUGAGCUGAGAGAACAAAAAUGAGAGAGUCUCAAUGGUGAAAAACCCUCACAGACACCAUAAGACAAUGGUGAACUAAGAAAAAGAAAAUGAGAAAGGCUUGUUGGCGAAAUCCCUUCAAGGUAUCACUAGCCAAAUGAGGUCUUAAAUGCAAUUGACCUAAGGAAACAACUCAGUUUCAAGGCCAUUAACUCAACAACAAUUGGUAGAAAGUUUGGAUGGAAAGAUCAAACAACUUAAUCUAAAAUGCAUGGUAUAAUCAUUAGAGUUGACUGUCAUUUCUAGAUAAAUUUUUUAUUUCUUUGUUUCAAAUGGGGACAUUUAUUAUCUUUUCUUUCUUUUCUUUAUUUUUAUUUUUGUUUUCUUGAGUCAGUUGUCCAAAUAAAAGUCAUUGCCAUUUUUCUCCUGUAUUUGAGUCAAGUUCAUAUCAAAAUAAGUGAGAAAAUAUUUUAAAAUUGGCUAUCAACUUCUUCAAUUGCACAAAGCAAAACAAAAGGUCAACACAUGAAAGAGACAUGAUUGUGAGCCGAAAUAAGGCAUGCAAAAAGUUUUGUCAACAAACAAGUCUGGGAACUCAUGAAAAUACCAAGGUUUAAAGGAUUUAUCUGAGGAGCAAGGCAAAACAGAGAUACUGUGUUGUUUCAGAGUCACUCUUAAUAAUCUGAGUUUGGUGUCAAUGAAGUAGCAAGUCAAUGGCAUAUGCUAAUGGUUGGAAGCAAGGUUAAAUGUGACAGGGGCAAGAGCAAUUACCACAAAAGCCAACUCCACAAACCAGCCACCAUGUUUUUAAAUUCACAAAUUUUCUUUGUAUGAAACAAGAAUAUAUGUUAUCUUCAAAUCAAGGACUUCAGGAUCUAAAUAUCAAAGGCUGCAAUGCCUUACUUCUGCAAAUUCAAGAGGCGGUGUUGCUGCACAGAUUUGAUAAUCAAAACCAUGGUAAUUUAAGUGACAUUUGUAAGGCAACACACUUCCUUAUUAGGGAAAUUCAAGUGACAUUUGUAAGGAGACGCACUUUCUUAUUUAGGCAAUUUUAGCCGCAUUUGUGAGGAAACACACUUCCUUGUUUGGGAAACUCAAGUGAUAUUUGUGAGGAGACGCACUUUCUUAUUUGGAUAAUUCAAGCAACAUUUGUAAAGAGAUGCACUUCCUUGUUUGUGUAAUUCAAGCAACAUUUGUAAGGAGACACACUUCCUUGUUUGGGUAAUUCAAGCAACAUUUGUAAGGAGACACACUUCCUUGUUUGGGUGAUUCCAGCAACAUUUGUGAGGAGAUGUACUUCCUUGUGUGGUAAUUCAAGCGACAUUUUAAGGAGACACACUUCCUUGUUUGGACAAUUCAAACAACAUUUGUAAAUAGACGCACUUUCUUGUUUGGGUAAUUCAAGCGACAUUGGUAAGGAGACACACUUUCUUAUUUUGGUAAUUCAAGCGACUUUUGUAAGGAGACGCACUUCCUUAUUUGGGAAAUUCAAGUGGCAUUUUUAAGGAGAUGGACUUUCUUAUUUAGGCAAUUUUAGCAGCAUUUGUGAGGAAACACACUUCCUUGUUUGGGAAAUUCAAGUGACAUUUGUGAGGAGACGCACUUUCUUGUUUGGAUAAUUCAAGCAACAUUUGUAAAGAGAUGCACUUCCUUGUUUGGGUAAUUCAAGCAACAUUUUAAGGAGACACACUUCCUUGUUUGGAAAAUUCAAGAAAUAUUUGUAAAGAGACGCACUUUCUUGUUUGGGUAAUUCAAGCGGCAUUGGUAAGGAGACACCCUUUCUUAUUUUGGUAAUUCAAGUGACUUUUGUAAGGUGACGCACUUCCUUAUUUGGGAAAUUCAAGUGGCAUUUGUAAGGAGACGCACUUUCUUAUUUAGGCAAUUUUAGCAGAAUUAUUGAGGAAACACACUUCCUUGUUUGGGAAAUUCAAGUGACAUUUGUGAGGAGACGCACUUUCUUGUUUGGAUAAUUCAAGAAAUAUUUGUAAAGAGAUGCACUUCCUUGUUUGGGUAAUUCAAGCAAUAUUUGUAAGGAGACACACUUCCUUAUUUGGGUGAUACCAACAACAUUUGUGAGAAGACGUACUUCCUUGUUUGGGAAAUUCAAGCGGCAUUCGUAAGGAGACGCACUUCCUUGUAUGGUAAUUCAAGCGAUAUUUUAAGGAUACACACUUCCUUGUUUGGACAAUUCAAGCAACAUUUGUAAAGAAAUGUACUUCCUUGUUUCGAUAAUUUAAGCGGCAUUGGUAAGGAGACACACUUCCUUAUUUUGGUAAUUCAAUCAGUAUUGGUAAGGAGACACACUUCCUUGUUUUGGAAAUUCAAGUGGCAUUUGUAAGGAGAUGCACUUUCUAGUUGGAAUUUCUCACUUUAAUUCUUAGGAGACGCACUUCCUAGCCUUGAUCAUUUAAUUUUACUCUCAAGAGAUGCAUUUUUGGUCAGAGUCUUGAUUCAUCAUCACAAUAUGCGAAUAGAUAUGAUGUUACUUUUCCAAAAGUCUUCUGAUGAUAAACUGGGGUAAAACUUAAUUUCUAUUUUUGGAACUUUACUUUUCUAGCAAAUGGAAUUUCUCUUUACAAUAAUUUUUGUUUGGUAUAAUUUUCUUUCUUGUUUUGAUGUGAUUUCAGGAGUCUACCUAAAGAACAGGGUGAAUAGUUGAAAAGUCAAGCAACAAUGUGAAGAAGCUAAAAGUCAAGCAACAAAGUGAAGAAGUUGAAAGUCAAAGCAAUAAAGUGAAGAAAUUGAAAAUCAAAGCAACAAAGUAAAGGAAUUGAAAGUCAAGCAACAAGGUGAAACAAUUGAAAUCCAAGCAACAAGUUGAAGAAAUUGCAAGUUAGGAGUUUGCCUGAAGGACAGGCCAGUGAAAUUGAAAGUUAGGAGCCCGUUUGAAGAACAGGGUCAUGAAAUGGCAAGUUAGAAGCCCGCCUGGAGAACAGGGUGAAGAAGUUGAAAGUCAAGCAAUAAGGCAAAGAAAUCAAAAGUCAAAAACAACAAGUUAGGAGCCCGCCUAAAGAACAGGGUGAAGAAGAAAUUAAAAGUCAAACAACAAGGUGAAGCAAUUGAAAUCCAAGCAACAAGUUGAAGAAAUUGCAAGUCAAGAGCCCGCCUGAAGAAUAGGGUGAUAAAACUUAGGUCAGGAGUCCAAAAGAAGCUGCAUAGGUAGGAUUUUUUAAAUUUCAUUUAUGUUUUCACUCGUAAAUUUCUUUUUCUUUUUUGAUGUAAUGACAGAGCCACGAAC